AACAAGCACUCCUUUUCAUUUUGCUCCAGCAGCACAAAUUCAUACGGAAACAACAACCUCCACACAAACCUGUGGGCCUUGGGAUGCUCCCCUGGACGUUGUGGCUACAUAACCACAGUUAAACCUACAGUAACCUGCUGCUGAAAAAAAACAAGAAAACAGGUGUGUUUGGAAACUAAGGAAGCUCCAAAAUGCUGGAUUUCAACAAGAUUUGGGCAAGACAAGAGCUGGAAGCUAUUUAUCUACCUAUGAGACAACUUCUGGAGCAGAUCGAGAUAACAGCAACAGACACCAAAAUCCCAAGAGAAGAAUUACUGUCUCCUUAUCAAGAAAGCUCAGACUUCGAGGAACCAAGAAAGUUGAUUUACAAGAUGGGGGGGGAAGCCAAAAUUAAGCAGAAACACCCACGUUUAAAAGAAAUGUUUGAAUCAUGUAUGAGAUAUAUGAAUAUGCAAAAGGCUAUUGCUUUUAAAGGGUAAUUCUUUGUUAGCAAGGGGUGCUUUUUGGCAGAGUGCAAGGCACCCAGACAUCCGUAAUUCUUCGCUUUUUAUUGUCUCUUAUUGUCCUAAUUUCCAUCACUAUUUUCAUUACUAUUAAACUCCUAAAAUUUUAACAAAAGUGAAUGGCAUUUUUCACAUUGUGGGACAUAAGUUAUCAGUUAUUGGGUUAGAAGUGAAAAUAAUUUAGGUGUCAUUUCUUAAUUGGAUAGUUUAGCCUUAGAAGACCUUGUAACAAAAGAUAUUUUGUGCCUUGUUAGUAGAAUGCUGUAGAACUCACGACUUGUAAUAUAAAAAAGAAAUAAUUCACAUCUAAGCCUGAAUGCAAAAUGUCAUCUCAAGUGCCUUCAAUCCCGACCUCGACAGAGGCAGAAAAAAGAAGGUGAGAACCAGCAGAUCCCUGCCUGAUUCCCAGUGGAUUCCCAGUUCCCAGUGGACUUUCACAGCCUGGCAGCUGUGUUUAAUUGUGCCCAAGUCAGCUGACAAAGGCUGGGAUUUCGCUGCCUUCCGUGUGUUUCAUCUUGGCAGGUGUUUCACUCCUCCCCCACAAAGGCUUGGCAGCCCUAAAAACCCGCACGUGGCCGGGGUUGGAUGGAUGGCAGGGAAAAAUCAGAGAUAUCCCUGGCAAACCAAGGAGAAUCCCCACAUCAGAAGAAAUCCUCGCCUUGAAUAGAUUCAUGCUGCGUAUCAAAAUCAAUGGUUUUACCAAUAACAGCCUGAUUUAGCAUAAAUAAAUAAAUUAAACAGAAUGAUAAAUCACA